CAAAAACAGCAGAACUUAAUGGAAAAUUUGAUGUAUGGCAUCCAGGAGAAACAAAAGAAUAAAAGGUCAAGAAUUUCAGAGAAACUAGGGGGAAGAAUUUAAAGGAAGGAGAUUCAGCAGUACCAGACCUUGAACUAUAUUUAAGCAAGAAAUCAGUCCUGAUAAAUCAAGGAAAUAACAGAUGUGGAAUACCUGACCUGGGCAAGUCACUUAGCCUCUGCCUCAGUU